UUUCUUUUCUCCCAGCCGCCCCCUUCCCCAAAUUCUUCUCUUCCUCCAGACCCGUCGCCCUCCCCAAAUUUUUUUUCUCUCUUCAAGAGACGCCAAUAAGUUUGGCCCCCUUUUGCAAUCUAAUCCUUUUGUUUUUCUUUUCUUUGUCUUUGUCUUGCAAUCUAAUUUUCUUUAAAAAGAAAAAAGAAAAAAAAGAGAGAAAGAUUUAAAGAUGGUGGAAUAAUCGACCUCGAUUCGAUUUCGCUGCUCGGCGGCUUGUUGAUGUCUCGUCCUGUCGAUUGAGAGAGAGGCUGAAUAAGAUUAUGGCUUCGGACUAUUUCACUACCUCGCCGGAAAUGAAGGCUCCGGGGGAAGUUGCAGCUGGAAAUUACGCCUCUUUCCAGGUACCGAUCACAGGGCCAACACAAGUGGAAGGUUCAGUUGCUCAGUUCCAGCAUCAGGUAUAACUUUUUAAUGAUUUCGGUUUUGUUUUCUGCUUUUUGGAUUUUGAUAUCGAUAAAUUUGCCUUUUUGUUAAUGGCUGCAUUGUGUUUGGUCUUGUAUUACUCGUUAUGAUAUAGAUUUGCGCAUUGCUUUAUUCGAUGACUUGCAUUGUAGUCUUAAUAUGAGAAACUUUGUUGAGGAAUUGGUGGAAUAAUGUAUUUUAGUGGUUGGCGUUUUACUCUGUAAAUGUGAACAAUAUUUGAUUUUUCUAGAAGCUUAAGAUGAUUUGAUUGGGUUACACUAAAGUGAUAAUAGUAAUGUGACUGCGCGUAUCUUUUUAUGUGCUUAAGAUGUGUUGGGAGUUGAUAAUUAGCACUCACAUUGCUAGAAUCUACUGACAGUGAAAAAAGAAAUUUUGGUAGCUAGUUCCCAUUUGUGCAGUAACCUAUGGAUUGUAGAAACAGUGAAUGGGUUUUUUUUUUUUUACUUAUUAUAUAUGAAUGUGUAAUGGAGUGUAUUAAUUUUUGGUAAUAUAUGAAACACAAAGGCCUUGAAAUAACUAUAAGCUGGUCAAUAUAAACCUUUCUCAUUUCUGUAUUAUAUAAAUAGGUUUCUAGUUCCUACAUUGAAUACUGGGAGAUGGGGAUUAAAGUUUACCAUUACAUUACAUGCAUAGACAUGUGAUUUUGUGAAGCUGUUAUGUUAAAGCCCAUAGAUUUUCAAUCUUAAAAAAGAUCUAAUUUCUUUGUCUUUGUCUCUAUAUCCGCUUACGGCGACACCAACCGCAUCAACUCCACCGUCCAACAAGCUCUCUCCUCCACCGGCAUCUCCCUCAACCACGUCCCCGCCGUUAUCAACUUGAAGCUCUAGAGAUGGCAAUCAAGAAGAACACUAUAGUGUUCUUGGAGACUGGCUCUGGCAAGACUCUGAUUGCCAUUAUGCUUCUGCGCAGCUUUGCCUAUCUUCUCCGCAAACCUUCGCCUUUCAUUGCAGUCUUCUUAGUUCCCCAAGUUGUGUUGGUCCCUCAAGUAUGCCAACUGUUAACUUCCUCUCUUUCUCAUUGUAUACAUAAUCACAUGUAUGUAAUAGGCAUAUGUAAUUGUUUAUGCAUUUAAGGCAUUAGGUUUUUUAUUUAAAUGGGAUUCAUCACAUGUAGGGAUCAAUAAAUGCCUUGAAAGUAUUGGGUUUUAAUGGAAUGAAUCACAUUUCUCUUUUAAAGAUGUUA